UACGUAGGGGGCAAGCGUUGUCCGGAAUCAUUGGGCGUAAAGAGCGUGUAGGCGGCCCGGUAAGUCCGUUGUGAAAGUCCAGGGCUCAACCCUGGAAUGCCGGUGGAAACUGCCGGGCUGGAGUCCGGAAGAGGCGAGUGGAAUUCCUGGUGUAGCGGUGAAAUGCGCAGAUAUCAGGAGGAACACCAAUGGCGAAGGCAGCUCGCUGGGACGGUACUGACGCUGAGACGCGAAAGCGUGGGGAGCAAACAGG
rnacentral:rRNA from 1 species